ACGUCAGGGCAAUGACUUCCGGCGGAAGGAGAAGCCGGUUCCGGGUUUUGGCCGACUUCAGGCGAUGAGUGGGUUAUGAGGAUUCUAGAAGUUUGCUAUCUGAGACGGCCCACUUCUUGUUCAAUGGAUGAUGGCAUUUGAGCAGAUACCAAAAAAGGAUUGGUACAGCAUUCUGGGGGCAGACCCAUCUGCAAGUGUGUCAGACCUAAAACAAAAGUAUCAAAAACUCAUAUUAAUGUAUCAUCCAGAUAAACAAAGUGCAGAUGUGCCAGCAGGAACAGUGGAGGAAUGUAUACAGAAGUUCAUCGAAAUUGAUCAGGCAUGGAAAAUUCUAGGGAAUGAAGAGACAAAAAAAGAGUAUGACCUGCAGCGGCAUGAAGAAGAUCUAAGAAAUAUGGGACCAGUAGAUGCUCAAGUAUAUCUUGAAGAAAUGUGUUGGAACAAAGAUGAUCACUCUUUUUCUCUGAGUUGCCGAUGUGGUGGAAAAUACAGUGUUUCUAAGGAUGAAGCAGAAGAAGUUACCCUGAUUUCUUGUGAUACAUGUUCACUAAUUAUAGAACUCCUUCAUUAUGGCUGAAAUUGUUCACCAAGUGGGAUCCUUUAACUGUGUAUUCAGACAUGUUGAAGAAAGCCAAUUCAAGUAAAUGUAUAAAGCUGAUAAAAAUAAGUAGGAUUCUUUUUUUGGUCAGCUUUUAUUUGCAGAGAAAGUAUAAGACUGUCAAGCAAGGGCCACCUCAGAUUAAUAGAAAAUUAAUUUAGUUACUUAUAUGUAUUCAUAUUUUAUAUUUAUAGAUCACCAAAAAAAAAAGGACUUGAAUUAUAAGUUAUAUUUUGUGAAUUCCCAUCUGAGAGCUUUGUUAUUUGGUCCAUUUUUCCUUGGUAUAAGAAUUUUCCUUUUCUUUAAGCAUGUCUCCUCUUAUAAUGGGUCACAGUAUCAUCAUGUUCCUUUAUAGUUACUGAGUUUCUGAAGUAACAUGACAUUUCUAGCUGCUGAAGUUACAGGCCUAUUGUACAAGUAUCUCAAAGUCUCAAGUCACUAGAAUUAAAUUAUAAUCUUUGUGAAUAACAUGUGAGCCUAGUACUCCCAUAAUGAGGGCUGGAUAUGGAUAUUCAUGAAGUUAGUUCAAAGUUAAUAAAGAAGGUGAAGUGGCAACUGUAGAAAGGAUAGCUUUGGAGUGAAAAGACUUGACUCCAGUCCUGACACUGUAUUUCCAGACUCUUUGUGUGGCUAAAUUAAAGGGAAUAAAGCUUGAACAAUGCCAUCUUCAACUUUAAAUGUAACUUAGGAAAUGGUAGUUUUAAAAAAAAAAUAAUAAUUUGAAACAGAUCCAUUAUUUUCCUUUUUAUGUCAAAGUACUAAGUAUUAAUUCCUAUAUUUAUGAAUAAGGAACCAUACUGCAUUGCUGGUAUGAUCAAUUGGACUUUUAUAAUGUUAUUAUUGAUUAUAAUAGACUUUAAAGAUUUUGUUUUUCUGUAUAUUUGAUACUUUAUGUACAGUAUAAGUCAGGACUCAUUUAAAAAAAAUUGAGGAAUCCUUUAUGGGAUCGCUGGAACUUUAUUACUUAAUUUCAAAUGAGUGAACCAAGCAUGUGCCAUAGCAGCUUUUUAUUAGGUUGAACCCAUGGUAUUUAUUAUUGGUUUGUACUUAAAAGACUAGUUACUGCUCUGAUGUGUAAAUGUAGCAAAAGUAUGAGGCAUAUUCAAGAAAAGAUUACUUUCGUUAUAGCUAUAAAACCAAAAAUUCAGAAGUGAGGUUGUCAUCCAGAUUUUUUCCCUAAAAAUAUUUUUGUAUCUUUCAUAAAAUUUAGAUGACUUACUUUGGAUUACAUUUUUAUCCAUAUAUUUGGAACUAAUAGAGCUUGCAGUAUGUGUCAUUUAUUAUUUACAUAUAAUAAUUACAAAUGAUUAAAACUAAGUAGCAAAUAGUUUAUUAGUAAGUACAUGGUUUCAGUGGCAAUAACAAAUUCACUUGGGGAGAAAAAUCAAAACAAUAAAUGCUUGCUAAUCGUCAGAAAAUCUGUGGCCAUUAGGGCUGUCACGUAGAAAUCCAAAAUCACUCAAAGGCCAAAUCUGUAAAAUUAAAAUGUGAUUGAAGACAGUUAUUCAAAGUGUUCUAUCAUUAUAUUCUUUUAUUCAUCCCUUUUCUUUGUGCCAUAUAAACACUUUCUCCUUAUUUUUCAUCAAGAACAAAUUCUCUAUACCAAAAUAAGACUUUAGAAAGUAAACUUGUAUGUGCAUAUGUAUUUAAACUCUAAAGUUUGGAAUGCUGAUAUGUUAUACAAGAAAUUAUGUGUAUGGUAUGUGAAUAUAUAUGUAUGAAUAUGUGUGUGUGUGUUUUCUUUUACUACCCUCAAAGUUAACUGUAAGCCUAUGUAUUUAAAUAUAACCUCUGCAUAAGUAUAAAGAAUCCUGCAGAUUAUCCAAUAGCCCAAGUAUUCAUGUGUUUUUCUUCUUAGUGCUGUGGCAAAAAGGAGGACCCAGUGAAAAUAAUCAUCUUUCCUAAGAGUUCUACAUUUACUGUAACCACGGCAAUAUCUUCAAUGCAUUAUACUUCAAUAAUGACCAUCAGGAACUAGAAGGACCUAUUAUAAAACCAUCAGUUGUAAAAUUAAUGAUGGUGACCUUCUACUGAAUGAAAGACCCUAUCUCCUAUAUUGUCCUAUGUAUUAACUGGUAAAUAACAUAAGUUUACAUUUUUACUCAAUGUCAACCAUAAGAAUAUUUAGAACGUUACCUUAAAAAAAAUGCGCUCUGUGAUAUGAAACAUUUGCCCAUUAAUCUAUUCUGUAUAAACUUAAAAAAUUACCUGCAGCAGUAAUCCUUAAAGUAGCAUUUUACAAGUUAUUUUAUAGUCUUUGUUACCCAAGAAAGUUGAAUUAUUGACCAGACCAAGAUGAUUUACUGGGAAGGAAUUUAUUUUCACUUUUCUUUUUGACUGGCUGUUUAUUACUUGGGUACCUUAUGUGAAGAAAAAUACUCCUACUGGGUUAAAUAAGAAAUGACUGCAAUUUUACAAAAUGUUACAAAUUACUGCUUUUAAAAGACUUUUUUAGAGCAGUUUUAGGUUCACAGCACGAUCAAGAGGAAGGUACAGAGAUUUCUCAACCAUCUCCUGUCUCCACGCAUGCACAGACUUCCCCACUAUUGACAUCCCCUACCACAGCGGUGUGUGAACACACAUCAACAUCAUAAUCACCUGAGGACCAGAGUUAACUUAGGGUUCACUCUUUGUGCUGUACAUUCUAUGGGUUUGGACAAAUGUAUGACAUGUAUCCAUCAUUAUAGUAUCAGAGAGUAUUUCCAUUGUCCUAAAAACCCUGUGUGAGCCGCCUAUUAUUCAUGUCUCCCCCACCCCCCAUCUCCCAUAUUACCUUUUGGAAAAAUAAAUGUAUACAAGCAUGUAAAAUCUGAAUUUCACUUUACAUCAGAGCUUAUAUAAUUUUGGAAUGUCUUAUGUAGAAAUAUUUGUCCAAAACAAGUUAAUUAUUUUCAUUUACAUACACUUAAAUGUUAACUCUAUUUGUAGAUACUCUUUCCUGAAAGAGUAUCAGAUGCUAUAAGAUCACUUUUUUCCCCCCACUAUUAGUGGAACUAAGUUACAGGUUCUAGGGCCAAAAGCAAGACUAAUUCCUAUCUGUAUAAGUGGAUUUAUGUACAGUCAACCUUAUUGUUCAGGUAGAAAAAUGAAUCCAUCUCAGGUCACAGAUAAAAAAAUAGUGUAUUUGGAAAAGCCAUGUGUCAUUAACAUAGUCUCAAGUGCUACUAUGGGAGAAGCUAUAAUAUGGACAUUUUUUAUGUUUAAAUUUCCAUAGUUUCUCCUUAAUAUGUGUUUAUUUCUGAGUUCUAAAAAAUACGUAAUAAACCAAGAUCCAAUAUACAUUCCAUUUCUUCAUGAAGCUCUCCCCAAUCUUGCCUGCCCAUACCAAAUACUCUUGAUGGUUUAGAGCACUUACUAUAUAAAGUCUGCCUUGCCUGGGUCCCUGGAUUAUAACAUCUUACUAAACUGCUUGGCUUUUGUAUAAGUCUAUUAUUUUAUGACCAAAUAAGCCAAUAGACCGUAAUCGUGUCAUGAUCUUAAUUCUUUACAACACCUAAGUCAAAACUGGAACUCUGAUAGCUGGUGGUAUUUAUUAUUAAUGUAAGUAUAAAUUCUUAUAAAGCACAAUCACUUUUGUCUGAUUUUUGAAUUCUUCCAAAUUAGCGAAAUAAAGUGAUGAAGUGUUAUCUCUGGUAUAAUAAAAUUAACCAGUACAGAACGGAAUCUGGAACAUAUUACCAGAAGCCUUUGGAAGAGUGUGACUCAAGCUAUCUUGACCUAGUCCUUGAUUGCAACAGGUGGAACAUAAAGGAGGAAACAGUAGUGCAAGCCAGUGUAUAUACAUGGCGUUCUGAUUAAAAAAAAAAAAAA